GCACCGGUGGUGUUGGGCGUAAUAUCGCUGCCCGGAAAGCAGAAGGUGCGGGUUUGAGUCCCGCCUGGUGCA
rnacentral:tRNA from 1 species